GCGGGCGUCGUAUAACGGCAUUACCAUAGGUUUCCAACCUGUUGACAGGGGUUCGACUCCCCUCGCCCGCU
rnacentral:tRNA from 1 species